rnacentral:rRNA from 1 species
GUGGGGAAUUUUGGACAAUGGGCGCAAGCCUGAUCCAGCAAUGCCGCGUGCAGGAAGAAGGCCUUCGGGUUGUAAACUGCUUUUGUACGGAACGAAAAGGUCUGGGUUAAUACCCUGGGCUCAUGACGGUACCGUAAGAAUAAGCACCGGCUAACUACGUGCCAGCAGCCGCGGUAAUACGUAGGGUGCGAGCGUUAAUCGGAAUUACUGGGCGUAAAGCGUGCGCAGGCGGUUUUGUAAGACAGGCGUGAAAUCCCCGGGCUCAACCUGGGAAUGGCGCUUGUGACUGCAAAGCUGGAGUGCGGCAGAGGGGGAUGGAAUUCCGCGUGUAGCAGUGAAAUGCGUAGAUAUGCGGAGGAACACCGAUGGCGAAGGCAAUCCCCUGGGCCUGCACUGACGCUCAUGCACGAAAGCGUGGGGAGCAAACAGGAUUAGAUACCCGGGUAGUCC